rnacentral:lncRNA from 1 species
CGCGGGCCGGGCGCGGGCUCGCCUCCCCUCCGCGCGCCGUCCCGAGUGGGAGCGCCCGGGCCGCUGACUCAGGACGGGGAAACUGAGGUGCAGCGAGGUGUAAGUGAUUUGCCCAAGGUCACCGAGCUGGGAAGUGGCCGACCCAGGGUUAGAGUCCAGGUCGUCUGGCCCUCGAGGGCACCGUGUUCCCCACCGCUGGCUGCCUCGGUUCAGCAAAACUGCCACAAGGAGCCUUCUGGAAUCCUGCUGACAGUGUGGGCACCGCCCUAAAGUUCCACGCUGACUGCGUGCUCGCGUCCUCACCAACCGCUGGGAAGCGGAUGUGGUUCUUGAACUGCUUGUCCCAGGGAGGGCAGCUGGAAUGAAGGUCAGGUCGCCUGAGCCCAGGGCUCGGCCCUCCACCGCCAGCUGCUUACAGCCGUGGACGCCGAGGCUGCAGGGGGCAGCGGCGCCUGCAGACUGCCAGCCCCACCUGGUCCGCUCAGAGCCCUCUGUCCCCUCGGGACCAGGUUCAGCACCCCGUGUCACCUGGGGUCAGGGCCACGUGGGCAGAGGCCCCUGGCUUAAUUCUAGGUGUAGAUCAGCAUCGAUGCCAACAUUAGGGCUUCGACACAGAUUGGCCUGGCUGUGAGGUCUCAGGUCCUGUGGCUGAGCAAUUCAGACAGGGCACAGUGGGGACCGCUUGUCUCUGUUCUACAGUGUUUGGGUCAUCAGCCGGGAGGCGACUCAACGGCUGGGGCUGGAAUCAUCGAGAGGUGACGUCACUUCCACCUGUGUCGGAUGACACUGCCCGUCAGCCAGAGCCCCUCCAUGUGGCCUGGGCUUCCUUGUAGCAUGGCAGCCGGCUUCCGAGAGCGAGCGUCCCAAGAGAACCUGGCGGAAGCUUCAUGGCCUUUUCCAGUCUGGUCUUGGGGGUCAUACAGCAUCAUUUCUGCAGUGUUCUGUCUGCAGGAGCUGUCACAACACCCUCCCCACCAAGGGAAGGGACAGAGGCUCCAUCUCACGAUGGGAGGAGGAGCGUGGUUCUAAAAGAGCUUGUCCCCACCGGGGAGAUACCAUUGUGACCAUCUUUGGAAGACACCUCUGCAGUAGGAGGUGACCCCAGGAAGUUCUGGGGAAUGGAGAAAUGCUGUUAAAGGGUACACUGCUGAGUCGGUUGACCUGGUGGACAACCGAGGCUCACUCCUGCUGGGGACUCAAGAAGCCAUACAGUUCUGAUGCGUGAGACCCCAUGCAUCAGAGUCAUGCAUCAGAGUUCUCCCUCUAAGGGAUGGGGGCUGCAUAUUUAUUCCCUAGUUGAGGGUGGCCUGAGGAUGUUAAAUCGCUGCCCUUUCUGGGCUGCUCUGGACUCGGACCGAGCGAGCCUCUGAGCACUCGCUGAUGACGCUGCCUCCCUGUGGUGACCCCAGAGGGGGCCCAAGGGAAUAAGGGGCAAGACGUCAAUAAAUGCCUUGUCUGUCCAAACCAG